rnacentral:lncRNA from 1 species
AUCAAUAUCCCAGUCGGCUCCAAUGUCCUUGGCCAAGCUCACCAGGAUGUUGGGGGGCACCUUCAUCGGCACCUGCAGCAAGGUCUUGUCGUUCCCUUUCAGAGAGCCCGGGUCCGCCAUUGUUCCCGACGCUAUCACUUUGCCGGCGCUUUUGAAAGUGUAGGAGAUCUCACAAAUGGGAAGAGAAUGGCUGUAGGGGUUAUCAACGGAGACCUUGGCGUCGUACUCGACGGCUUCACGACUGACGUUCUUGAGAUCGACGUCUGUGAUUUCAGCCUCUGGCUUCUCUAUGUUUGCCAUCUUCUCUGCCACGAAGUUCUUCGCCUUGUCCAGGAACUGCGCCAUAUCUUCUUCUAUUCUCAACUUCUUCUUUACAAUUUCGAUUUAAUUCGGACACACAGUGUAAACAGACCACAAGGGUUAUCUGGAUUCAGAUUUGAUUGAGAAAGAGUUGGCGUAGUGAAGUGACCGUAUGAAUGUAGUUUUACCAAGUUAUAUAGAAAGUGUAUGUGGGUUGUCGACACGUGUAAAGGCAUUCUUCCUUUAACGAGGACGCGUGAGGAAGUACGUGUGUGGACCGUGGACUUUCCGUGGAAAGAGGAUCCGUGCUCCCCUCUGGGUCUGCCGUCUGGCGUGCGUGUACUCUGGGAAGUCUCUCUCUGUGUUCCAAGUACCAACUAUAACUAUUAAUUAUGAUAAUUAAUGCCCAAUGGAUUGGAUAAAAAUCUGUACUUGCUUUCCUUAUCCAGAGGCUAGGGAGCAUAAAAAUAAUAAUAAUAAUCAAAAUAAGUGAGAAAGAAUCCCAAGCACAAGGAUCCAAAAAUAGUAUACUCAAAGCACCGACUUGUGACCGCCACCAUCCCCCCACCGAAAGUAUAUCUGAGAAAGUAGCAUAAAAAUGAAAAUGGAGAUGCGGGGUAUCGAUCCCCGUACCUCUCGCAUGCUAAGCGAGCGCUCUACCAUCUGAGCUACAUCCCCUUUUCAGUUCUUUAUUUUUGUUAUUAUUUAAUCUAUUGGUGGCAA